rnacentral:rRNA from 11 species
CGAAAGCCUGACGCAGCCACGCCGCGUGCCGGAUGAAGGCCCUAUGGGUUGUAAACGGCUUUUAAGCAGGAAGAACGACCGGAUUUCGAUCUGGUGUGACGGUACUGCUUGAAUAAGCACCGGCUAACUCCGUGCCAGCAGCCGCGGUAAUACGGAGGGUGCAAGCGUUAAUCGGAAUUACUGGGCGUAAAGCGCGCGUAGGUGGUUUGAUAAGCGAGAUGUGAAAGCCCCGGGCUUAACCUGGGAACGGCAUUUCGAACUGUCAGGCUAGAGUGUGGUAGAGGGUAGUGGAAUUUCCUGUGUAGCGGUGAAAUGCGUAGAUAUAGGAAGGAACACCAGUGGCGAAGGCGGCUACCUGGACC